rnacentral:rRNA from 1 species
UAGGGAAUCUUCGGCAAUGGACGGAAGUCUGACCGAGCAACGCCGCGUGAGUGUAGAAGGUUUUCGGAUCGUAAAGCUCUUUUGUUAGAGAAGAACGUUGGUAGGAGUGGAAAAUCUACCAAGUGACGGUAACUAACCAGAAAGGGACGGCUAACUACGUGCCAGCAGCCGCGGUAAUACGUAGGUCCCGAGCGUUGUCCGGAUUUAUUGGGCGUAAAGCGAGCGCAGGCGGUUCUUUAAGUCUGAAGUUAAAGGCAGUGGCUUAACCAUUGUACGCUUUGGAAACUGGAGGACUUGAGUGCAGAAGGGGAGAGUGGAAUUCCAUGUGUAGCGGUGAAAUGCGUAGAUAUAUGGAGGAACACCGGUGGCGAAAGCGGCUCUCUGGUCUGUAACUGACGAAGAGGCUAGAAAGCGGGGGGAGCAAACAGG